GAUUUCAACUGAAAAAGUCAUCAACAAAAAAGUUGUAUAACUCAUCAAUAUCUAUAACUUUUAUUUUGGUCAUUUCUUCAUCCGAAAAAGUGAUAGUAAUAUUGUUUAUAAAAUUUACAUAUCUCUUGUAUGAUAUAAUAAACUAUAAGAGAGAUAUGUAAAUUUUGUGAACAAUGUUACUAUCACUUUGUCGAAUGAAGAAAUGAUCAAAAUAAAAGUUAUAGAUAUUGAUGAGUUAUACAACUUUCUUGUUGAUGACUUUUUCAGUUGAAAUC
rfam:Oryza sativa Japonica Group DNA, chromosome 10, cultivar: Nipponbare, complete sequence.